rnacentral:misc_RNA from 1 species
CAAUAAGAGUGUUCUAUGGCACUCUUUCAAAAAAUCCAUACCCACCUUGUGUGCAAUGUAAGAAAAAGUGUUCUACAGGAGUCAAGGAAGGGAGAGUGGUCUCUGGCCAUUCUUUUUUCCCCUCUUGUAGGAAGCUUUUCUAAUUUACAUAAACACCUUUCUAUAUAGUUCCUAUAGUCUGAAGUUUAGUAGAAUUUACAUAAUUCUUAAAUACAACUUUCAACAAUGGAUCUCUUGGCUCUCGCAUCGAUGAAGAACGCAGCGAAAUGCGAUACGUAAUGUGAAUUGCAGAAUUCAGUGAAUCAUCGAAUCUUUGAACGCAUAUUGCGCUCUUUGGUAUUCCGAAGAGCAUGCUUGUUUGAGUAUCAGUAAACACCUCAACCCUACUACCUUUCUUGGGCUAGUCGGGCUGGAUUUGAGCAAACCCAACAAAAAGUCUUUUUUUUGGCGGGUUGCUUGAAAUGCAGGUGCAGCUGUAACAAGAACAGACUGAGCUAAAAGCAUAUCCAUUUAGUCCGCACUUGUUGUGGAUUAUCUAUUUGCUGCAGCUACUCUAAGGUCGUCUUGUAUGAGCUGACUGAUGCAGGAUUUGUUGCUCCUCUCUGAGGACUUCAAAACUCGAUCUCAAAUCAAGUAAGACUACCCGCUGAACUUAAGCAUAUCAAUAAGCGGAGGAAUCGCGUACUUGGUCAUUUAGAGGAAGUAAAAGUCGUAACAAGGUCUCCGUUGGUGAACCAGCGGAGGGAUCAUUACCGAGUUUACAACUCCCAAACCCCUGUGAACAUACCUAUCGUUGCUUCGGCGGAUCCGCCCCGGCGCCCUCGGGCCCGGAUCAGGCGCCCGCCGGAGACCCAAAACUCUUGUAUUUCUUUAGUAUCUUCUGAGUAAACAAGCAAAUAAAUUA